CCUACGGGUGGCAGCAGUGAGGAAUAUUGGUCAAUGGACGAGAGUCUGAACCAGCCAAGUAGCGUGAAGGAUGACUGCCCUAUGGGUUGUAAACUUCUUUUAUAAAGGAAUAAAACGAGGCACGUGUGCCUUUUUGCAUGUACUUUAUGAAUAAGGAUCGGCUAACUCCGUGCCAGCAGCCGCGGUAAUACGGAGGAUCCGAGCGUUAUCAGGAUUUAUUGGGUUUAAAGGGAGCGUAGAUGGGUUGUUAAGUCAGUUGUGAAAGUUUGCGGCUCAACCGUAAAAUUGCAAUUGAUACUGGCAGUCGUGAGUACAGUUGAGGUAGGCGGAAUUCGUGGUGUAGCGGUGAAAUGCUUAGAUAUCACGAAGAACCCCGAUUGCGAAGGCAGCUUACUAAACUGUGACUGACAUUGAUGCUCGAAAGUGUGGGUAUCAAACAGGAUUAGAUACCCGGGUAGUC
rnacentral:rRNA from 1 species